rnacentral:lncRNA from 13 species
CUAAUACUACGAAAGCACAAUCAGAAUUCAAAAGAUCUCAACAGGCUGGAAACAUGAAUGGAAGCUGUAUUAGUGUGUUUUCAUACUGCUGUAAAGAACCGCCUGAGACUGGAUAAUUUAUAAAGAAAAGAGGUUUAAUUGACUCACAGCUCAGCAUGGCUGAGGAGGCCUCAGCAAACUUACAAUUAUGGCAGACAGUGAAGAGGAACCAAGACAGCUUCCUCACAAGGCAGCAGGAAGGAGAAGUGCUGAGCAAAAUAUAAAAACCCAGAAUUUCCCUCCGUGCCGGCUGUGGAACACUAGACUUACUGUCUGGGCUCAAGUGGGAAUGGAAAACCUUAACACUGCAUCCGCCUCUUGGAGGAUUACCAGGCUCAAGAGCACCUUCAAGGCUCUGAUAAGUCCUGCAGUAAAGAUAUGCUUUUGGCUUUCAUCAGAGAAUCCUUUCUGAAGAGAUUCCUAGGAACAUCUCCUGAGGGUUCUCAGUGGCUUCUCAGCCACUUACCCCACUGUCUGUUCUGUGAUACGGAGUUAUCAUCAUGAUGUCCCCUGACAACAUGAAGACCAAGAAGCUUAGUGAUUUGCCCAAUGACGUGCACCUAGGAAUGGUCAGAUUUAAGUUCAAGACUUGACGCUAUGAGUCUGGGGAUUUACCCCUAAUGCAGCAUUUUGUGACAAUGGCGUCUGUUGCUGACACGCCUGGUUUCCUAGCUAAGCAUAUAAAUUAGUGUGUUGAGGAUAAAUAAUCUCUGAGUUAUCUUUUCAUGAGGGUACUGUAUUUUUACUUUUCUUUUCUUUUAUUGUAUUUGGGCUCUGGGGCACGUGUGCAUGUCCUGUAUCCUGCAGGAUUGCUGCACAGGUACAUACAUGCCAUGGUAGUUUGCUGUUUCCAUCCCUCCGUCCCCACUCACCUACAUCAGGCAUUUCUCCCAAGGUUAACCCUUCCCAUCCUCCCCCGCCACUGUCCCUCCCCUCCCCUCUGCUCCCCUCCACUCCCCCACCUAGCCCAGUGAGUGUUGCCGUCUUCCCUGUGCCCAAGUGUUCUCAUUGUUCAUCACCCGCCUAUGAGUGAAAACAUACAGUGUUUGUUCUUGUGUCAGUUUGCUAAGAAUGAUGGUUUCUAGGUUCAUCCAUGUCUCUACAAAGAACAGGAACUCGUUGAUUUUUAUGGUUGCAUGGUAUUCCAUGGUGUAUAUGUGCCACAUUUUCCCAGUCCGGUCUAUCAUCAGUGGGCAUUUGGGUUGGUUCCAGGUCUUUGCUAUCAUAAACACCUCCUCAAUGAACAUAUGUGUGCAUGUGUCUUUAUAGUAGAACGAUUUAUAGUUCUUAGGGUAUAUACCCAGUAAUGGGAUUGCUGGGUCAAAUGAAAUUUCUAUUUCUAGGUCCUUGAGGAAUUGCCACACUGUCUUCCACAAUGGUUGAACUAAUUUACACUCCCACCAGCAGUGUAAAAGUGUUCCUAUUUCUCCACAUCCUCUCCAGCAUCUGUUGUCUCCAGAUUUUUUAAUGAUCGCCAUUCUAACUGGCGUGAGAUGGUAUCUCAAUAUGGUUUUGAUUUGCAUUUCUCUAAUGACCAUUUUUUUCUAAUUAAUAAAGUGCUCAUAAUUUUGAGCGGGGAAUACA